rnacentral:lncRNA from 1 species
CGUGCAUGGAAAAAGUCCUCAAUGAACUCCCGGGUGUGUGAGUAGCAGUAACUCGUGGGCCUGGGUGGUGCAGA